AGAGCUUCGGCGUAUUAUUAACUAAUCCUAAUAUAUUCGGAUAGAUUUAAAUAAGAGUAUUAAACUUUAAAUUUAAAAAAUAAUAAACUAUACUUAAAUAGGGUAAAGUUAAAAGAAACUCUAGUAGAAAUUCGUAAUAAUUCUAACGUAUAAAUCGAUUAUUAAAUUUAAAUAUAGGAGCGAAAAAUUAAUUGAAUUAUCUAAUAGCUAAUUACUACCGAAAUUUCCCUUAGAAUAGCAAUAUUAUUCUUCAAUUUUAUAAAGUAAAGCGAAUAAUUAAGGACUCGGGAACACUUUUUAACCUUUAUCUAUUCUCAAACUUUAAAUAUAUAAAAAACCCUUAUUAUUUAAUUGAAUAUAAAUAUUCAAAUAUACUAAUAUUAGUAAACUAUUUUUAGUAAAUAGAAUUAAUAAUAUAGAAUAAACCGAACGUAGGGUUAAAGUACCGGAGUAGACGCUUAUUAAAUACUAUAAAAGGCGUUAGUACAUCUUAAUAGCAAAAUAAUAACUAUAGAAAUCGGAAUCUACUAAAGAUUAUAUAAUAACUUACCUACCGAAUAUACUAGCCCUAAAAAUAAAUAGCGCUUAAAUAUUCUACUUAUACCCCGCUCUUAAAGUAGAAAUAAUACCUUAAGGAAUAAAUAGCUAUAGAGGUUAAUAAUAAAGCCUAGGGCGUAAACCCGGGUCGAACGGCCUUUAAUAUAAAUUUUAAUAGUAGUAGUAAAUACUUUAAUAAGAAUUUAAAGGAUUAAAAUAGGGAAAGGUUCUAUAUAAACAAUAGUUGGAUAUAAGUUAAUCAAUCCUAAACUAUAAGGAAAUUCCAUUUUAAAGGGGCAUUUAUACCCCGUAUAAUAAAAGGGAAGCUAAUUAAUAUUCUAGCACCUAAAUAUAAAUUUUAUAUAGCAAUAUAACUAAAUGUAAAAAUAAUAGUAGGGGCCCUGGGUAGAAUUCUCUUUUCUUCUUAAUAAUUUAUUACCUUAAAAAUAAUUUAUUUAGAAAUAGAGUUUAAUAGCCGGAAGAGCCCAAUACUUCUAUCGGGUCCAAUACGCUUUUAACGUCCCUUAAAAAUUUGUAGGAGGGAAUAAUUCUUACGCUAAAUUAUACUUAUAACUGUAGUAAAUCUCUAAAAUAAAUAACCUCUAAUUAAUAGAAUAAUAUAAAUAAGGGAAAUCGGCAAAAUAGAUCCGUAACUUUAAAAAAAGGAUUAAUUCUAAGGGUUAAGUACGUCGGAUUUUAAAUAAACGUUCUAAGAAUAGAUUGCUACUAACCGAACAACCGGCUAGUAGCUUUCAAUAUCCGGGUAUAGAAGCCCUUAAUAAACUUCAAUCGUCCGGCGUAUAUUUAAUAACUAACUUAGAACUAAUACAAAUAAGGGGAAUCUAACUAUUUAAUUAAAAUAUAGCAUUACAAUAGCUAGAAAGUAGUAUUAACGUAAUAUAAUUUCUACUUAAUACUUUAAAUAUUAAAAUAAAGAAAUUUAAUUAAGUAUAGGUAAAUAGUAGGAAUAAUUAUAAUUCUUUUAAAAUAACUAAAUACUUCGUUAUUUAAUUAGUAAUAUAUAUAAAUAAAUUAAUAAAAUUCCUACUAUCCCUAUCUACUAUCUAGCGAAAUUAUAAUUAAGGGAAUAGGCUUAGUAGAAUUAAUAGGGAAAGAAGACCCUAUUAAAUUUAACUUUAAUUUAAUAUUAUAAAAAAAUAUAAGAAGUAUAAAAUAAGUAGGAACUUCGGCGCUAGUAAAAUACUAUUACUCCUAUUAUUUUUUUACUUAUUUAAUUAAGCGGGGCUAGAUUUUCGUCCAACUUUUAAUUUUAAGGUCCUUUACAAACCGACCCGGAUUAAAAAUAUUAUUAAAUAGGAAAUUUAACUAGGGCGGUACAUCUAUUAAACUAUAACAUAAGUAUCCUAAGGGAGGCUUAUAGAGAAUAAAAAUCUCUAAUAAAAUAAAAGGGUAAAAAUCCCUUUAAUUUUAAUUUUCAGUAUAAAUACAAACUAUAAAAGUAUAACCUAUUAAUCCUUUAGUCCCUCGAAAUUUAAAAUUAAAGGUACUAAAAAAGUUACUAUAAGGAUAAUUAAUUUAUAGCGGCCAAACGUUUAUAGCGACAUUACUUUUUAAUCCUUCAAUAUUAAUUCUUCUUAUUAUACCGAAAUAGAAUUCGGUAAAUAUUAAAUUAUUUACUUACUAAUAGGAAACAUAAACUAGAUUUAGACUAUUAUAAAAUAGGUUAAUUUUACCCUACUAAUAAUUUUAUUAUAAUAAUAAUUAAACUUAGUACAAAAGGAACUACUUAUUUAAAUAAUUAGUUUUUACAAUUAUCCGACUGGGUAGUACUAUAAUACUACUAUUUACUAAAUAAUAAUUAAACGCCUCUAAAUUAAAAUCUAUAUUAGAAUACAAUAAUACCUCUAAUACGUUAUAAACGUAUAAGAAUAGGCUCUAACUUUAUAUUUUAAUAAAUAAUUCCUCUAUUAGCCUUAAAAUAACUAGUAGUAAUUCAUAUAUUAUAAUUUUAAUAUACGCUAGAUUAAAUCCUUUAUAAACGAUUUAAAUAUACGAAAGGGUCCUAUAAGUAGUAAAAUAGUUUUAUUAUUACAAUUUAUUAAAGGUAAGCCCUCCUUCGCUUAAAUUUCC
rfam:Neurospora crassa OR74A unplaced genomic scaffold supercont12.18, whole genome shotgun sequence.